rnacentral:tRNA from 1 species
UCUCUGGUAGCUCAGCUGGUAAAGCAUCUGCCUGCAGUGCAGGAGAUCCCAGUUUGAUUCCGGGGCAUAGAA